rnacentral:rRNA from 1 species
AGUGAACGCUGGCGGUAGGCCUAACACAUGCAAGUCGAACGGCAGCACAGUAAGAGCUUGCUCUUACGGGUGGCGAGUGGCGGACGGGUGAGGAAUACAUCGGAAUCUACUUUUUCGUGGGGGUUAACGUAGGGAAACUUACGCUCAUACCGCAUACGACCUACGGGUGAAAGCAGGGGAUCUUCGGACCUUGCGCGAUUGAAUGAGCCGAUGUCGGAUUAGCUAGUUGGCGGGGUAAAGGCCCACCAAGGCGACGAUCCGUAGCUGGUCUGAGAGGAUGAUCAGCCACACUGGAACUGAGACACGGUCCAGACUCCUACGGGAGGCAGCAGUGGGGAAUAUGGGACAAUGGGCGCAAGCCUGAUCCAGCCAUACCGCGUGGGUGAAGAAGGCCUUCGGGUUGUAAAGCCCUUUUGUUGGGAAAGAAAAGCAGCAGGUUAAUACCCCGCUGUUCCGACGGUACCCAAAGAAUAAGCACCGGCUAACUUCGUG